AGGGGUAAUGUAGUAAUUACCCAAAGAAUGUACUUAUGGUUGUGUAUUAGGACCCAAUUAUUAAUUGGGUGUUAUUUUGGUGCUGACAGUUCGGGAAUCUAUCAGCUAGCAGUUGGGGUCGAGUCUGCGGGACGUCAGCAAGUGUGGGAUUGUGUCUUCGGGACUUCAGCAGUGUGAGGUGAGUUACCUUCCAAUAGUGGUGGGUCUACGGCCACAAUACCAUCCUACCAGUAGGAGUUGUAUGUUAGAUGAUUGUCUUUGUGAUAUUCAUCUAGGUUUGCUACUACCUGACGUGUUUAUGUGCUAGUAUGAUAUUAUGUGGUAGUAGUAGGGGGUGAAAUAGUCCCUGAUUACCAGUCGACAGGACCGAAGGGGUAGGCCAGCACCCAGAUAUGUUAGGCAGUAUGUGAGUUAUGUUUAUAUGCUAGAGUUUUAUGUGGUAGGGGUAGGGUGUGAAAUAGUCCCCAGUAUCCGGUCGAGAGGACCGAAGGGGAGACCAGCACCCAUAUAUGCUAGUCAGUAUUCGGUCGAGAGGACCGAAGGGGAGGCCGACACCCAGGUAUGCUAGGCAGUAUCCGGUCGAGAGGACCGAAGGUGUAGGUCGGGCACCCAGAUAUGCCUGACAGUAUGUGUAUGUUAUGUGAUUGUACGGUAUGUGGUAUGAUGGGGGAACUCACUAAGCUUCGUGCUUACAGUUUUCAGUUUUGGUUUCAGGUACUUCGUGUUUAAAGGAAAGGAGUCGGCUUGAUCGCAGCGUAUCACACUAUGUUUUCCGCACAUGAGAUCUUUGGGAUUACACUCUGAUAUGGUUUUAUGAUAAUAUGUUUUGAUUAUUGACACUUUGGUUUGACAUGAGAUAUUAUUAUGAAUGUUUUUAUACUAAUGGUUUUAUGUAAUAACUUAUUUAAAAAAGAAAAUUUUGGCCUUGAAAGUUGGGAUGUUACAAGUUGUUAUCAGAGCCUUGGUUUGAGGGAUUCGGGCACACUCUCGGGUGUGUCUGAACUCAAACUAAGGACUUGGUAUGAGAAUUUUCAAAAGUAAAAUCAUUUUAUAAAAAGAAGUUUGAAAAGAGUUUGAAAGAGAAAAUAACUUUGAAAAGAACAAGGUGUGUGAUGCGUGCAAUCAGCCGAGCUCAAGUAAGUUUUCCCCAAGAUAUCCAUACAUGUUAUGAUAUGUUCUGUUAUGUUAUGAUAUGGUUAUGAUGACUGCAUGAUAGAUUAGGGCUGAGGAUCUAGGAGGAUGCCUUAUAUGCAUAUUGUAUGUGCUUGUAGACUUGCAUGCUAGUAUUGAUCAGUUAGUGAUAGGAUAGCCUGUUUAGAUAAUGCCUGAUUGUAUGAGCCUUUGAAUUGCAUGUACAGCUUCCUGAUUAGAGGAUAGAACGGUUUGAUUGGAUUAUGAUGGUUAUAUUUCCAUUGUUUGAAUGUUGUUAGCUUUGUGCUUUGUGGGACUCUUUGUGAUGUGAGUUAGCUAUUAAGUGAAUAUGCUAAGUCACAUGUGGCACAUGUUGGAUAAUUUCAGAGUGAUAGAUUUGGCCCUAUUGCGCAGCUCUUGUCUGAGUCCAACCGUUCUAGGGAUAGGUCUCUUACUCGAAGGAUUAUUUGAUCUUUGUUGCAUGUGGCUAUAUUCAUGAGGUAGCUAGUUCGCAUUGCUAGGAAUCUUUCAACAACUGAGGACUGGGUGGGUACGGGAGCCUAGUAAAGCCUAGGAUAUGGUUCAGUGGGUUAGUAGUGAGGUUCAGUGAGAUUUGGGUAUACCAAAUUGAGGAAGUGACUUGGAGGAUUGAUGAGGAAAGUAUGGAUAGGUGUGGAAGGUAGUAUUGGGCCCGUACUACUAAAAGCACAGGGUCCAUACUCGAAUCGGUGAUAGUCUUGGAGAAUCUGAGAAGCUUUGGGGAAGAGUGAGUGACCCAGUUUGGGGACAGAGGACGUUCCAGUUGUUGCAACUUAGCCAUUGGCAAGUGAGUUAGUGAGCGUGGCAGGGUGUCAGACCCUGAAGCAUAUGAUUUCCAAGAGUUGCAGACGCGGGAUCGAUUUGGGAGCACCCUGGAAAGAGAGGUGCGUGCCACGUGCGUAUAGUAGAGGGUCCCGGGAAAAGACCCAUGACUUCUGAUCAUCAGGUGAAAGGCCAGCAGGGCCUGAGUCAGUGCAGCGCGUACGAGAAAGUACACGAGGGAGUUUGUCACUCCAAGGGUUUAGGCUGCUACAGGGUAGCAGGGUUAGUCAUGUCAGCAGAAGGGGGUCAGUAUUCCUCCAGAUGUUGUGGGUAUGUCAUCUUCUAUGCUAUUAGGUGGAUGUUUGGAAUACGUACCGCUUUGGAAUUGUGAGUGAGUUUGGAUAAGUCAGACCUCGGGUCGGUUUUUCUUCUAGUGUUUGGGUCACCAAGGAUCAUAUAUGCCAUCCUGCAUGCCGAAAGGUCCUUGAUGAACCCAAAGAGGGACGCAUCUUGCGGAGUGGGUUCCACGCAUACCGUUAUCAUUUCAGAUCUUUGUCGGGAUCUAUGCACGAGUAUUAUUUAGAGGAUACUCGAUCAGGGUUGUAGUGAUUGUUCUCCAAUGAAGUCAGCGUUCAGAGGUUCUAUCAUUGUUCAGAUAUGGUCGGUAAUUGUUUAUGGAUGAACUUUGGAGUUCAAGGCACUACCGUUGCUAGGACAGAACUGGUGAUAGGAAGAGGGUAGUGUCAGUCGCGGGUGUCAGAUGCAUAAGUGGUUGGUCACUGAAUGUUCAAGAGAAUUGUGUUUUCGCAUGGGCUGUGUUCGGUUAGAGUUCAGUGGUAUUGCAAGAUUGGGAGUGGGAACGAGGAUUCGCCAGCUAGAGUGAAGAUGAAGGUCUUCAAUCGACAACAUGUUAGAUGGAUCGAGGUGUCAGAUUGGAUCAGAUGUCAAGAGUACUCAUCGAGAUUUCCGAGGAUGUGAGAUCUCAAGGUUUAAUCGGUGAUUAAACGCUAGCAUUGGCAGGCACAGGUUGUCAUCAGUGGGAUAUUAGAAAGCGAUAAGGAUUGGAAAUCCUUUAAUUCUUGCGUGCAAUGAAGACUUAGUCGAAUCUAAGUGGGGGAGAGACUUUUAUAAAGUUCUCCAAAUGUGAGUUCUGGUUGCGCGGGGUGCAAUAUCUUGGGAACCUUGUCAACCAGAAGGGUAUUCUAGUUGAUCCGGCCAAGAUAGAGGUCGUGAUGCAGUGGGAGAUUCCGAUGUCUCCAUCUGAGAUUCAGAGUUUCUUGGGUCUAGCAGGUUACUACCGGAGAUUUACAUGGGACUUCUCCAAGAUUGCGGUUCCUUUGACCCGAAUGACCAAGAAGUCGGUAGCCUUUCGUUGAGGGCCUGAAUAGCAGGCAGCCUUCAAGGCUCUCAGACAGCGGUUGUAUGAGGCACUGAUUCUCACCCUGCAAGCGGGUGUAGAUGAUUUCAUGGUUUACUGUGACGCUUUGAUCACGGGCAUGGGUACGGUACUGAUAUAGUGGGGUCACAUGAUAGCAGGUUUUGGGAACCAUGUCAGAGUUCCGGUUAGGACUCUAGUUCAGUGAUGUGUUAGGUCGAGUGCGUGUUCGACACGGUAUGUAAAGUGUUGUAAGACUACGGGGUUAGCCGUAGCAUUCACUAGUAGUUAGAUGGUAUGGAAAGUGUUGUAAGACUAUGAGGGUAGCCAAUGCAUUCACUAGUAGUUAGAUGGUAUGGAAAGUGUUGUAAGACUAUGAGGGUAGCCAAUGCAUUCACUAGUAGUUAGAUGGUAUGGAAAGUGUUGUAAGACUAUGAGGGUAGCCAAUGCAUUCACUAGUAGUUAGAUGGUAUGGAAAGUGUUGUAAGACUACGGGGGUAGCCGUAACAUUCACUAGUAGUCAGAUAGUAUGGAAAGUGUUGUAAGACUGCGGGGGUAGUCGUAGCAUUCACUAACGGUCAGAUAAUGAUAGAGUGUUGUGAGACUGCGGGUGUAGCCGCAACAUUCACUAGGUUAGUAGAUAGUGUGAGCGCGUUGUUAGGGCGCAGAAGGAACAGUAGUACCCACCAGUUCAGGUGUAGCAGUAAGGAUAAGGAAAUCCACGGAUUGGAUUUCGGAAUUACCCAGAUGGAUUAGAUCUGGUUGAGCCAGUGAUAGGACUGUAGGAGCGCCACUACAGUUAUGAGAUCAGAGAAGCAACAGACUGCUUCAGGACAUGCGAGAUAAGGCAACCAUUGGCCAGGUAGCAAUCACUUUCAGCCUUGGAUUUGAAGAUGACAUGAUUCGACGUAUGUACCUGAUUGGUUAUAUCAGAAAGUAGUAGAGUCACAGUGUCAUGAUAACUAGUGGCAACUAGUUCCAGAGAAGGAUUUCGUUCAGAAGUCGUGUGAGGCGACUAAGUAGAGAGUCCUUUGGCUCCGCAACCGGGUGUAAAUCCACUAUUUCAGAGGAUUGGCAAGCGAAUUGAGUCCCAGGAGGUCUCGGUAGCUUUUGGUAAGCAGCUAUGUAGAAGCGUAUACUGCUUCAAGCAGUUCAGUGUUCGGGUAGUUUCAGUGUUUGGGAAGUAUUAGUAUUUGUGUUUCAGGUUGCAAGUACGGACGGAAUAGCUGGUUGAUCUGGGAAGUGACAAGUCACUCACAAUGGGAUCAGCUGAGCCUUGGCCAAGUAUAAGUGAUCUGCAGGGAUAAUUGGUUCUGUGAACCUGUUUUAUAGUGAGAACCUAAAGCUAUCAGAAGUUGAGUAGCAUGUUAAGGGAUGAACGGACUGGAUUCAAUGAUAAUGAUUCAGUAUGAGUGGUCUGUUGGGGAAUCAGACCAUCUGGAGAUAGUAGAUUCAGAUGAAGUAGAUGUGAUCCUGUUGUGAGGAAUUCGUUCACAUGAGGAUAUUAGGGCUUUGCGAAGAUUGGUCAUGGCUACCCUGGGAAGGCUAGGGUGUGCCCAGAAGGAUGACCAUGUUACUAGAGUGAUUGGGCGUGUAAGGAAUGGUAAGGAAUGAUUUCGAGGACGAAAUCUAAUUUAAGUGGGGGGGAGUUGUAACACCCGUUUAUUUAUUGAAUAAAUAAAUAAAUAGAUGAAGGACUUGUAGCCCUAAAAUAAAUAAUUAUGUGUAAAAGGAUGGUCUCGAAGAGCUAAUUGUCACCAUUUUAGAAGGCGAGGGUUAAAAGUGUAAUUUUCAGACCCAGUUUAUAAUUAUUUUUGAAGUUAGGGGCUCCAUGGUAAUUAUCAGAUUUAAUUUGAAGAAGAUUUCCAAAGCUAGGGUAGAAAGGGUAAAUAUUGGACUCAAGUUGGAAAGGCUUGGUGGGGGAAGGACUAAACUUGUUAAAUAGGAUGAAAGUUUGAUAUUAAACACGGGACUUGAACCCGACGAUCCUCCCUCCCAUUUUAAGGUAGCAACUUCCCAAACCCUAACCCUAAUCAUAAUCAUCAGCCGUCACCUUAUACCUCCUAGUCGCUGGCCGCUACCACCACUCAUCUAGUUCGUGUUUCCGACCAGCUUGAGGCCGCCAAGCGAACACCGGCCAACCUCCGUUGUCAUCCAGUUCCAGACGAAGACGAAGGCUGCUAUCCUCUAUCCUCCUUCCGCUGCCUCCAUGUCCAGUGGAAGCGAGAUUUUGAGUCGUCGUUGUGGUUAAGAUUUCCCAACCGCCAGUGGAAGUCGUAACCACCGCCAUGGCUUGCGCUGCUGCUGCUGCUACCCUUCGACGACGACGGACGAAGAUGAGUGCCUUCAUGUUGUAGUUGUCGGAGGCGUAACCAAAUUGUGAAGGUGCCGCCGCUAGUUACUGUUACGUCGUCUCAGGUCCACUGCCGCCGUUAGCCGCUUCUGUGAUUCCUUCGAGCUCCACCCGUCGCCGCCAUAUGGUUGUCAUCGCUAAUCUUGUCACCAGCUGCCAUUCCUUCCACUUUCUGGUGUAGCUGCCAUCGUGAAAUAACUCUCACCGCCGCCAUGAGCCACCAGGUGAGUGGCUGGAGUGUAGUCUAUAUUUUGGAAUGCGUGUGUGUGUAUUUUGUGUGGCUGGGAAAACCUAGAAAGCCACUGCCACCACCGUGAAGUGGUGGCUGCCACCUUCUACCAUCAUAGGGUGGUUGUGUGUGUAUGUGUGUCAUUAUGAGUGUGUGUGUUUGGUUAUCUCGUUGUAAUAUUGUAUUGAUCGGAAUAGUAAGAAAACUCUAAACCACCACCGUAGGGUGGUGGCUGNNNNNNNNNNNNNNNNNNNNNNNNNNNNNNNNNNNNNNNNNNNNNNNNNNNNNNNNNNNNNNNNNNNNNNNNNNNNNNNNNNNNNNNNNNNNNNNNNNNNNNNNNNNNNNNNNNNNNNNNNNNNNNNNNNNNNNNNNNNNNNNNNNNNNNNNNNNNNNNNNNNNNNNNNNNNNNNNNNNNNNNNNNNNNNNNNNNNNNNNNNAGGACCUAUCUUGGGCCUAUUGGGCUAAGAUGGGUUGGAAACCCUAAUUAGGGUUUGGAAAACCCUAAUGCCAUGAAACCCAAUUUGGGACUUAGCGGGACCGCACGUGAAUAAUUUAAUGAACUUAAAUUAUUAAUUAUUAAUCAUUGCAAAUUAACCUAAGGCCAUGUGGGACUUAAUGGAUUAAGUAGGAAACUUAACCCUAAUCAUCAUUUUAUGUGAAACCCUAAUUUCACUUGGGUUUAUUAUUGGGCCUUUCUUUUGGGCCUUGAUGAUUGGACUAUUAUUGGGCCAUCCAGGAAUAAUCAUAUGGAUUAUAAUAUGUUGUGGGGCUUUAGGGUAAGGCCCAUAUGAGAGUUGGGCCUAAUUUGGAAAAUUGGGCCAUAGAUGGGCCACAAUUUGGGUACAUGAUGUUGGGCCUCAGAAUAAGACCAUGUAUAGGCCUAGGCCCAAUUUGGAAAAUUGGGCCAUGUGUUGGGCUUUUAUUCCUAAUUGACUUUGGGCCUAUGGAUUGGGCCUUGGGCUUGAAUAAGCCAAGCUAGGGUAAUGUAGUAAUUACCCAAAGAAUNGGGUAAUGUAUAAUUACCCAAAGAAUGUACUUAUGGUUGUGUAUUGGGAUCCAAUUAUUAAUUGGGUGUUAUUUUGCUGUUGACAGUUCGGGAAUCUGUCAGCCAACAGUUGGGGUCGAGUCUGCGGGACGUCAGCAAGUGUGGGAUUGUGUCUUCGGGACUUCNCAGCAGUGCGAGGUGAGUUACCUUCCAAUAGCGGUGGGUCUACGGCCACAAUGCCGACCCACCAGUAGGAGUUGUAUGUUAGAUGAUUGUCUUUGUGAUAUUCAUCUAGGUUUGCUACUACCUGACGUGUUUAUGUGCUAGUAUGAUAUGAUAUUAUGUGGUAGUAGUAGGGGGUGAAAUAGU
rnacentral:lncRNA from 1 species